rnacentral:rRNA from 1 species
GACGAACCGUGCGAACGUUGUUCGGAAUCACUGGGCUUAAAGGGCGCGUAGGCGGGCUACCAAGUCUGUGGUGAAAUCCCCCGGCUCAACCGGGGAACGGCCGUGGAUACUGGGAGCCUCGAGGGAGAUAGGGGCAGGCGGAACUGAUGGUGGAGCGGUGAAAUGCGUUGAUAUCAUCAGGAACUCCGGUGGCGAAGGCGGCCUGCUGGAUCUCAUCUGACGCUGAUGCGCGAAAGCCAGGGGAGCAAACGGGAUUAGAAACCCCCGUAGUCC